rnacentral:piRNA from 1 species
UGGUGAGAGAGUGCCAAAGUC